ACGGAGAGGGAGCCUGAGAGACGGCUACCAUAUCCAAGGAUAGCAGCAGGCGCGUAAAUUACCCACUGUGGACUCCACGAGGUAGUGACGAGAAAUAUCGAUGCGAAGCGUGUAUGCGUUUUGCUAUCGGAAUGAGAGCAAUGUAAAACCCUCAUCGAGGAUCAACUGGAGGGCAAGUCUGGUGCCAGCAGCCGCGGUAAUUCCAGCUCCAGAAGCAUAUGCUAAAGUUGUUGCAGUUAAAAAGCUCGUAGUUGAAUUUCUGGCAUGGGCGACCGGUGCUUUCCCUGAAUGGGGAUUGAUUGUCUGUGUUGCCUUGGCCAUCUUUUUCUUKUYUUUUUUGGWAAGARAUCUUUCACUGUAAUCAAAGCAGAGUGUUCCAAGCAGGUCGUAUGACCGGUAUGUUUAUUAUGGGAUGAUAAGAUAGGACUUGGGUGCUAUUUUGUUGGUUUGCACGCCUGAGUAAUGGUUAAUAGGAACAGUUGGGGGUAUUCGUAUUUAGGAGCUAGAGGUGAAAUUCUUGGAUUUCCGAAAGACGAACUAGAGCGAAGGCAUUUACCAAGCAUGUUUUCAUUAAUCAAGAACGAAAGUCUGGGGAUCGAAAAUGAUUAGAUACCAUUCGUAGUCA
rnacentral:rRNA from 1 species